AGAGUUUGAUCCUGGCUCAGGACGAACGCUGGCGGCGUGCCUAACACAUGCAAGUCGAACGGGGCGAGAGACUUCGGUUUCUCGCUUAGUGGCGAACGGGUGAGUAACGCGUGAGGAACCUGCCUUCCAGUGGGGGACAACAGUUGGAAACGACUGCUAAUACCGCAUAACGCAGCUAGAUCGCAUGAUCUUACUGCCAAAGCUUUAUGUGCUGGAAGAUGGCCUCGCGUCUGAUUAGCUAGUUGGUGGGGUAACGGCCCACCAAGGCGACGAUCAGUAGCCGGUCUGAGAGGAUGAACGGCCACAUUGGGACUGAGAUACGGCCCAGACUCCUACGGGAGGCAGCAGUGGGGAAUAUUGGGCAAUGGGGGAAACCCUGACCCAGCAACGCCGCGUGAAGGAAGAAGGCCUUCGGGUUGUAAACUUCUUUUACCAGGGACGAAGAACGUGACGGUACCUGGAGAAAAAGCAACGGCUAACUACGUGCCAGCAGCCGCGGUAAUACGUAGGUUGCAAGCGUUGUCCGGAUUUACUGGGUGUAAAGGGCGUGUAGGCGGAGAUGCAAGUUGGGAGUGAAAUCCCGGGGCUCAACCCCGGAACUGCUUUCAAAACUGCAUCCCUUGAGUAUCGGAGAGGCAAGCGGAAUUCCUAGUGUAGCGGUGAAAUGCGUAGAUAUUAGGAGGAACACCAGUGGCGAAGGCGGCUUGCUGGACGACAACCGACGCUGAGGCGCGAAAGCGUGGGGAGCAAACAGGAUUAGAUACCCUGGUAGUCCACGCUGUAAACGAUGAAUACUAGGUGUGGGAGGACUGACCCCUUCCGUGCCGCAGUUAACACAAUAAGUAUUCCACCUGGGGAGUACGACCGCAAGGUUGAAACUCAAAGGAAUUGACGGGGGCC
rnacentral:rRNA from 1 species